AGUGAACGCUGGCGGUAGGCCUAACUCAUGCAAGUCGAACGGCAGCACAGGAGAGCUUGCUCUCUGGGUGGCGAGUGGCGGACGGGUGAGGAAUACAUCGGAAUCUACUCUGUCGUGGGGGAUAACGUAGGGAAACUUACGCUAAUACCGCAUACGACCUACGGGUGAAAGCAGGGGAUCUUCGGACCUUGCGCGAUUGAAUGAGCCGAUGUCGGAUUAGCUAGUUGGCGGGGUAAAGGCCCACCAAGGCGACGAUACGUAGCUGGUCUGAGAGGAUGAUCAGCCACACUGGAACUGAGACACGGUCCAGACUCAUACGGGAGGCAGCAGUGGGGAAUAUUGGACAAUGGGCGCAAGCCUGAUCCAGCCAUACCGCGUGAGUGAAGAAGGCCUUCGGGUUGUAAAGCCCUUUUGUUGGGAAAGAAAUCCAGCUGGCGAAUACCCGGUUGGGAUGACGGUACCCAAAGAAUAAGCACCGGCUAACUUCGUGCCAGCCGCCGCCGUAA
rnacentral:rRNA from 1 species